UACAGAGACUGCAAGCGUUAUUCGGAUUCACUGGGCGUAAAGGGUGCGCAGGCGGCCGUGUGUGUUGGGCGUGAAAAGCCCGGGGGCUUAACCCCCGGAAUUGCACCCAAAAACUACAUGGCUAGAGCAUUGGAGAGGGUAGCAGAAUUCAUGGUGUAGCAGUGAAAAUGCGUAGAUAUCAUGAGGAAUACCAGAGGCGAAAGGCGGCUACCCUGGACAA
rnacentral:rRNA from 1 species